rnacentral:rRNA from 1 species
GACGAACGCUGGCGGCGUGCCUAACACAUGCAAGUUGAGCGACGAACCAGGGCUUGCCCUGGGGCAAAGCAGCGAACGGGUGAGUAACACGUGGGUAACCUGCCCCGAUGAUCGGGACAACCCGAGGAAACUCGGGCUAAUACCGAAUGUGCUCGCCGGACACCAGUCCGGCGCGUAAAGGAAGCUUCGGCCUCCGCAUCGGGAGGGGCCCGCGGCCCAUUAGCUUGUUGGUGAGGUAACGGCUCACCAAGGCAACGAUGGGUAGCUGGUCUGAGAGGACGAUCAGCCACACUGGGACUGAGACACGGCCCAGACUCCGACGGGAGGCAGCAGUGGGGAAUCUUGCGCAAUGCGCGAAAGCGUGACGCAGCAACGCCGCGUGGGGGAAGAAGGCCUUCGGGUUGUAAACCCCUUUCAGGAGGGACGAAGGUUCGGCGGUGAAUAGCCGUCCGGACUGACGGUACCUCCACAAGAAGCCCCGGCUAACUACGUGCCAGCCGCCGCGGUAAGAC